rnacentral:lncRNA from 1 species
UAUGGGAAAUCACAAUGAAGCAAGAGAACUGAGUGGACCACUCUUUCCAGAGUCUAGACAAGUAAGAAAACCAAAAAAUCAAGCCCUGAAUUGUAGCAUUUGCUGAUAUCUGAGAUGUAAAUUCUCACAUUGAAAAUUUAACAAUCCACUCUGAAGCUGCUUCAGACUGACUCCAUUCAGCACACCUCAGCUUCUUC